GGCGAGGGCAGGGCUCCGAGAAGUUGUGAGCCAGGAACCCAGCCAUGUGAAUUCUCAGAUCUCCUUUUGGCUCCGUUUCAAUCAGGAGUGAUUGGUUGGAUGUCUGGCGUAUUUGUGGAAGUGUGAUGGAUGAUUCCAGACGGCAGGAGACAGAGGGAGAAGGAGGACUGUGUGAACCAGGCCCUGAGGACAUAGAUGCCACACAGGACUGCCCCCCUACACUCUGAGAGCUCACUGUUGGGGGGGAUGGGGAGUCAGGCGCCAGAAGCACAAAUACAUAACAUUGUGACACGUGUGAUAGUGAGAGGCAUUCAAGGUAGAGAAGUGAAAGGGAAGGAUUCCUCCUGGCGAGUCUUGAGGGAGAUCUGAGCCAAGUUCAAGACUGACCUGGGUUUACUGUGCGGAUGAGAACGUAGCCCCACAUCCUGUGUGAGGAACAGGGUCUUCAAGCUGGCAGGGUGGGAGCAGAGGGGAUGUGAGUCAAGAAGGAGACCCGGGGGCUGGGUGCCCCCUCACCUCCUUCAGAGCCACCUUAAACAGCAUUCCAAGCAGAGACGGCGAGCUCGCCACGUGGACUCCACUCUCUCUCCUUCUGCUCUUGUAUGUUAACUUGAGCAGCUUCUGGGGGUUGUGGGACUUUGGGGAAAAGGGAUUGACUGGGACAGAACCAAGAAUAGACAUGCCCAUAAAGGGCGUUGGAUGCCAUGCUAAUGGGCUUAAACUUGAUCCUCUGGGCUGGAAUUUGCGAGCUGAUGCCAUGAGAUGAAUGUUUUUUUAAUCCUAGGUACUUGCUUUGUUAAAUUUAUAAGAAGUUUUAAAAGUCGGUAUCAUCCUAGCACCUCUUGGUAGACUGGGAAGACGUGACAUCACUGCACUCAUGAUUCUGUAGUGAGCAGUUGUGGGAUUACUCUGCUACCUUUAAACCAGGCAUGGGCUCUCUGUUGGCCUCAGUCCCCACCAUUCCCUCAUGCCGCCCAGGAACCUUACAGGGCUCUGCAGCACUUCAGCACGCCCCCUAGAGGCAACUGGAGCCACCGGUUUUAAGGUAGGGGAGUUGAAUGCAGGAUUUGGAGUAAUAAGAUUGGUAGGUGAUUGGAUGUGAGAGGAAGGUAUCGGAAGCAGGGAGACAUGUCAGUCAGUGUUAGAGAGGAGGGGAUAGGUCCCAGUAACAACAGGAAUACAUGUAGGGGAGCAAAACUUGCUACCCCAAAAAUGUGUCUCUUUGGCAUGAGGAUUAAUUUACACUGAUUAUUUUUGAGGCUUAAAAGACUCCAGAAGAACCUCUGACCUUCCCCUAACUGCUUAAAGAAUGUAGAUGGAGGCCCUGUUCCAGGAAGGGAGCAUCACCAUGGAUACUUAGAGUGUGAACUAGAUGUGUCCACAGGGAGGAGCCCAGUAGAGUCUGUUCGUUAAAUUUCCUCUCUGUGUCCCGCUGUCUCCGCCUGGCCCGCAAGCAUUUGUUUACCAGAUGUUUGCUUUUCCAUCUCCAUGUCAGUUGCCUCCCUCCCCUUUGAGUUCUCAAACCACUACCCACAACAUCCUCUUUUGUCUUUGGCUGAAGGUGGCAUUUAAGGUGAGAGUUCUGGCCAUUUAGGUGAAUUACUCAGUUUUCCUGGGUCUCUCCCAUGUACACGUGUUAUUAAACUGUUGUUUGAUUUUUCUCUUUUGAUUUGUUAAUCUCUCAUGUCAGUUUAAUUCUUGGACCAGCCAGGAGAACUUUGAUGGGGAGAGGGAAAUGUCUUCCUGACACACGCUCCCCCCAUGCACACACCUGCAGACAGGCACGUGCACGCGCACACACACACACACUUAAAAUAUGGCUCCCUCUUCUUCAAUACUUGGAGUCCUUAGAUUUCUUAAGAUUACUUUGCCUGUCUACAUUUAGUUAAAUUUCAUUUAAAGGCUACUUCUGAGUUGUAGAGGGAAGCACAAGUCUGUUUUCCCAGGGACCGCUUCUCCCUUCUGUCCCCCCUCCCCCUCAGAGGUGGGCGGGGUGUGGCCUGGGGAGGACAGCAUGUCCUGGACCACUGAUUUUUCUGACCUCAGAGGCCCUGCAGGACUCGGCCUCAUGUUCUCCCAGCCUGUCUAGGGCUCAGGCCCCACAGAAUCAUGCCACAGUCUCCCUAUGCGUGGCCAACUAAAGUGCCAUGAGGGGGGAAAUAAGAGAAUUGUAGGUGAAGGGUUGGGAGGGAUAAAAGACGAGGUACGCUGGCUGACCCCAGAGCCAUGUGUGGUCUGCUGCAAAUCCCUUUCCAAGUUACAAUCCCGGCUUGUGGAGGAGAGAAGGGAGGGAAACCGCGAACUGCGCUCCUGUCCCCAUUUCCCCUGCGCUGCUGGGUGACACACCCCAAGUGGCGCUGGUCUCUGCUCCUGCCACAGGAAGUAAGGAGGACGCUGUGAUGCCGGUUGAGUGCCGAGCAGAUGGAAAGCGAGUGGUAUAGUAUCCCUGGCGAGUGAUCUCGCCAGCCCUGGCCUCUGCCGCCUCAGCCCAUUUCAUCCUCGGGGGCCGUGUGGUCUGUGACUUAACCAUCUCUUCCGCUUCCGCAUCUCAACUUCGCACUUGGAGGGAAGCAGAUCCCAGUCAAGGAACUGAGAGCAAGUUCUUUCUUGGGGAGCUGAAGUGAAGAAGUCAGACAGAGAAAGACGGCUGCCAGUAAAGAGCACAUUGUCAGGGCUUGCCGCUCCGUGGGGGAGCAAGCAAGCAACCAGGCAGCACUUCAAAUAUUUUGUGAUGGUAGAAAAGAGCCGUGUGUCCGGGCAGGUCUCCUGGAGAAGGUGACAUCUCACUAGACCCGCAUUAGGACUAGAAAUUGUGAGUGUGCGUGACGACAUCUCUGGGUGACUCCCGCCUGCCCCCAGCCGCUCAGUCCCUCCCUGCCUUCUGGCCCUCCUGCCUGGAGCUUCCGACCUCCCCACUGUGCCCACCCUGAAUUUUUUGGCCCAGAGAAUCCAGGGCUGGAAUGGGUUGAUGGUCUUAGCCCACCAAGUUUUGGGGUCAGUGUCAUGCAGAAGUAAGUAACUCCUGCAGCCGGAGGCCAAGCGUAUGUAGCUGAGCCCCUUAGAGGACGAGCUAACACCACGUAUUAAAGGCCCGAAGUUUGGGCUGCAGACCUAAGCGCCGUUUGGCAGGUCACAGCAAAGGAGACUUGACCGCUGUCUGGAGUUUUCAGGGAAAGCUUCUCAGAGUUCAGGCUUGAAUCAGCCUUGAAAGAUUGUGGCCUCCCCGAAGUCACAUCUUCUUCCAAACAGGACAAAGCUCCUUUGACAAACCUCUCCUCCCCCGUCCUCGUCUGCCUGGUGUUGAUGCUUCAGGCCAGUUGGGCUGUGAUUGGAUGAAACCGUGGUGGUUCAGAGCCAAGGAGGCACACACGCCCAGGGCUCCGUGCAAAGGAAAGCUUCCUGUGUUUUGCUUGGAGGACGCCUGCAGACACUCAGAGUGGAAUGAGGCUGCUUCUCUGAAGAGCGGGAGCCCGGGCUGGGGACGGGUGUGGGCGCCGGGCGGAAGCCUCCCCCGGGACGCGGACCGUGGGGACGGAAGGG